rnacentral:lncRNA from 1 species
AGAUCAUCAGGCAUUAGAUUCUCAUAAGAAGUGCAUAACCUAGAUCCCUCACACACGCAGUUCACAAUAGGGUUAGCAUUCCUAUGGGAAUCCAGUGCCACUGCUGAUCUGACAGGAAGCGGAGUUAAGGCUGUAAUGCGAGCAAUAGGCAGCAGCUGUAAAUCAGAUGAAGCGUCACUUGUUUGCUCACCGCCACUCACCUCCUGCUCUGUGGUCUAGUUCCUAACAGGCCACGGACCUGUACCAGUCCAUGGCCCAGGGGUUGGAGACCCCUGUGUUAGAGUCAAAAGAGAUGGUACAUUGAAAGUGUUUCAUAAGACCAGGCGCGGUGGCUCACACCUGUAAUCCCAGCACUUUGGGAGGCCGAGGCAGUUGGGCCACCUGAGGUCGGGAGUUCAGCCUGACCAAUGUGGAGAAACCCCGCCUCUACUAAAAUACAAAAUAGCUGGGCGUGGUGGUGCAUGCUUGUAAUCCCAGCUACUUGGGAGGCUGAGGCAGGAGAAUCGCUUGAACCCAGGAGGCAGAGGUUGCAGUGAACUGAGAUCACGCCUUUGCACCUUUAGCCUGGGCAACAAGAGCAAAACUCCGUCUCAAAAAAAAAAAAAAAGGGAAAGUGCUUCAUAAACUCUGGGUUUUAAUUCACUCCAAACCAGAUAUGAAGAUGUUGGAGGGGAAGAUGAGGAUGAGGAACAGAAAGAUAGAGGUGUCUGGGAGGCUCCCUGGGAAAAGCUGAGGCAGAGGCUGAAGGAGAGGAAGGGCUGGGCAUGGCAUGGGACUGGCAUGGCUGGAGCAGGGGUUGGCUGCUGGAGGCUGCUGUUGGAUUCUUUCAGAACACGUAUGACCGCUGCCCCAUGGAGCUGGUCCGCUGCAUCCGGCACAUUCUGUACAAUGAACAGAGGCUGGUCCGAGAAGCCAACAACUGCAGUUCUCCGGCUGGGAUCCUGGUUGACGCCAUGUCCCAGAAACACCUUCAGAUCAACCAGACAUUUGAGGAGCUGCGACUGGUCACGCAGGACACAGAGAAUGAGCUGAAGAAGCUGCAGCAGACUCAGGAAUACUUCAUCAUCCAGUACCAGGAGAGCCUGAGGAUCCAAGCUCAGUUUGCCCAGCUGGCCCAGCUGAGCCCCCAGGAGCGUCUGAGCCGGGAGACAGCCCUCCGGCAGAAGCAGGUGUCUCUGGAGACGUGGCUGCAGCGCGAGGCACAGACGCUGCAGCAGUACCGCGUGGUGAGUGGGGUCCUGGCCCUAUCCUGGGCGUAGGUGCCAUAAAGUCAGUCUCUGGGGACCCAAGGGAGGGCUGGGACCCGGAUGAGAGCAGAACCUGGGAGGGCAGGAGGCCUUUUUUCCUGGGGGCCAUGCGAGGCAGAGCAGCUCAGCCCUGCCAUGCCAUUUCCCAGCAAGGCCCUGCAGUGUUCUCUGGGAGCCCAGAAGGGGCUGCUCUCCUCCCUUCCCUCAGGAGCUGGCCGAGAAGCACCAGAAGACCCUGCAGCUGCUGCGGAAGCAGCAGACCAUCAUCCUAGAUGACGAGCUGAUCCAGUGGAAGCGGCGGCAGCAGCUGGCCGGGAACGGCGGGCCCCCCGAGGGCAGCCUGGACGUGCUACAGUCCUGGUAAUGGUGUGGGGCGGCCAGAGGGCAGGGCAGGAGGGGCUGGUGGGGACCCUGGCUGCUUCUGCCUCCUGUGCUGGCUCCUGCAACAGGCCCCCUCCAUCCUGGGACAGCUCUUGUUUCUCCAGGGGGCCUGGUUCCUGAAUCAGACUUUG